CUACUGAACUUCACCUUCUACUGCAUCUAAUUUACCUUUGCUAACAAGCUGUUAAUUUGGAUAUUGGUGAUGUGUUAACACCACAGCAAAGAUACUUUAUCUGAGGUAUAAAUACUUUAAUACAGACAUGUUAAGCCACAGCUAACAGCCAGGUGAUCUGUUGGAGCUGUUUAGUUUUCAGUUAGCCCAAAUACUGUAACAAUGUUAGUUUUCUUUAUAGGCCUAUUGUUUUCAAUGUACUAUCUGUCAGACAACACUAAUGUAUUGUUUCUUUUCUCAAACAAACAGAAGAUACAUACACUCCAGUGCAUUUGUUGGUAAGUAUAAGUGUUUUGACCAAGACUGACAACAAACAAAAUAAAAAUAACUGGACUAAUGUUAAACAACAUUUCAUUCAAGAUAAUUUACAACAUAUGCUGCAUUUUUCAAAUACUGAGCUCAAAGUGAUAAGAAAUGUUGAUCUAUCUGUAACACUGUUGCAUAUCUUAUCUGAGAAUUAUAGAUGGGAUACAGUUUUUUCCUUGUAGACAACAGUGUGCUAAAAAUAUUACAACUCUAUUAAAUUAACUUAUUUGAAACAUUUUAACUUGCUUGGAAAGUCUAAAUCUUGAUUUUGACAAUUAAGUGGGAAAAUCAUUCAUUUUAUUUUAUUCCUUUUUUUGAAAAAGACUAAUGUUUGUUUCCAUUGUGUCUUACAGGUACCCUGUCCAGUCUCCCCACUCUCCCCUAUCAUUUUGGCCACUCUGACUUUCCUGUCUCCUCUACCACUCUGUCUUAUUGAAAAGCCACUCUAUCUUGUGUCCCCCUUGUCUCUAUCCCUCUUGCUAAGUUUGGUUACUCUGACUUUCCUGUCUCCUCUACCACUCUGUCUAAUUGAAAAGCCUUUGAGAAACCUUUCUGGAACAAGCCUUUGAGAAACCUUUCUGGAACAAGCCUUUGAGAAACCUUUUUGGAAUAAGCCUUUGAGAAACCUUUUGAAAUUGCCAUCCUUUGAGAAACCAUUUGAAAUUGCCAUCGUUAUAAACCCUUCUGGAACAACCUUUUGAGAAAUCUUUUUGGAACAAGCCUUUCAGAAACUAUUUGAAAUUGCCAUCUUUUCAAGAGACCAAUUGAAACUGCCAUCUUUAAGAAACCAUUUGAGACAAGCCUUUUUAGAAACCACUGUAAUAAACAUAUCUGAGAAACUAUUGUAAUAAACAUCUCUGAGAAACUAUUGUGAUAAACAUAUCUUAGAAACAAUUGUAAUAAACAUCUCUCAGAAACCUACUGAAACAAGCUACAUUUUUUGAGUAACUAUUGAAACAACCUACCUUUCUUUGAGAAACCUUUUGAAAAACUUAC